rfam:Schistosoma mattheei strain Denwood, Zambia genome assembly, scaffold: SMTD_scaffold0021048
AUCCAUCUGACGAAUCCCAAAUAGGACGAAACACAUGUUCUGGCU